GGGCUGACGUCAGUAGCACACAUACUAACACUGGAGCAAUACAGAGAAGAUUAACGUGGCCCCUGCACAAAGAUGACAUGCAAAUCCGUGAACCGUUCCCUAUUUAA